AUGACUUCAAUUUUGGAUGGCACACCUACACACACCCACAGUGACCAGAUCAGAUUCAUUAUGGAUGUCCCUUUUCCAGAGUCCAUCAUCUGUGCUCUUGCUGUUGUGAAAGAUGUGUCCAUCUUGGAGGCUGAGGAGAAAUUCCUUCGAGGACCUGUCAUUGACGCAAGUGAGUGGGAUCACUUUGACCGCAGGAUAAAGAAACAAUUAAAGAAGAGUGGCAAACCAUUGGAGAGUCAUCUACAGGAGUCAUGCUGUUAAGAAAUAACCAAGUCAUGGUGUUAAUAAAUUUUUUUUGUGAACAACAAUAUUGUCUUUCUUUUAAAUGACCC
rnacentral:lncRNA from 1 species